CGACGAUUUGGACCCGCUAUGCAAAUUUCACCUCAUCAUUAUUCACUUCUUUAGAAAUUAUAACAUUGUACCAGACUACUGUAACUACAUACUUACUGAAAUUUAAGACUGUUGAAGAAUAUUUAUUGUCUAUCACCAUUACAUAAUCUACACAUCAACUGGAAAUGCAUGCAGAUGCACCUACUUUCAAAUUGGCAUUUUACUCCGUCUAAAGCAAUAAAAUUUUACUCAGUGGAAGAAUACUGCUGUUAAUCGGUUAUUAACAACUAUUGAUAUCCACCCUGGGAUGGUUGUUCAUUAAAUUUGGGAUUUGCAGGGUGAAGUUCUUCAAUUGGCAGAUCUCUGACCUCACUCUGAGAGAACUGACUAGUCGUGAAAUUGGCAUGCAAAAUUGUAUGGCCUAUUGGCUCUGGGUUGAACACUUGUAGAUACUUAUAGAUACUGAAUUUAAAUACACUGGAAAUAGCAAAUUGUAUACAUUGACUGGAAAUGUACAAGUUUAAUAUUCAAAGAAGAUUCUAAA